UACGAAGGGGGCUAGCGUUGUUCGGAAUUACUGGGCGUAAAGCGCACGUAGGCGGAUAUUUAAGUCAGGGGUGAAAUCCCAGAGCUCAACUCUGGAACUGCCUUUGAUACUGGGUAUCUUGAGUAUGGAAGAGGUAAGUGGAAUUGCGAGUGUAGAGGUGAAAUUCGUAGAUAUUCGCAGGAACACCAGUGGCGAAGGCGGCUUACUGGUCCAUAGCUGACGCUGAGGUGCGAAAGCGUGGGGAGCAAACAGG
rnacentral:rRNA from 1 species